CCUGUACAAAGAAUUAAAUGUUUGACCAGGGCAGUGCAAUAAAUGCUGCAGCCAGAAAUGUUUGCUCUGCUAUUUAAUGAGUGACCUUCAACAAGACAGCUGACACGCUCCGGCCUCUGUUCAUGUGUUAAUAAGGGAUUUCAACUCAGUAAUCUCUAUUUUCUCUUCAGUUUUAGCUUUCACAGAGCCUGGUAAAUGGCAUGCACACUAAUAAGGAAUUAUCGAAUCAAGAAAAGUCUGGGUACAAUGGCAAGAAGGCAAAAAUAGGAUUUCAUUCAGUUUAAUAGUCCAGAAAAGGUAACUGAAGAUGAAAGUUAAAGCAAAUUGCCCAACAUCUCCCACUGGGUCAAAAAGAGGCCCUGAACUGAGAUUGAAGCCCAGUCCGCCUGACUGCAGAGCCCAGCUGCACCCCAAACUCCGUCCGAAUGCUGGAAUUACCCCCCCGCCUUCACCAGGGCCACCUGCCUGCAGACACUGCCUGCAAACUGCUCAAAAGAUGCCCAGGAGAAGAGAGAGGAGCAAAAGACGUCCCUAAUUUCCAUACCCGGCAAUCCGCUAUACAAACUCUCUAGUAACUCUUAAAUGCUAUUGGAAGCAAUUAAAUAAAAAUCCUGGGAUAAUGACUUGUUUUUAACAUUAGAGCCUAAA
rnacentral:lncRNA from 1 species